rnacentral:rRNA from 1 species
GUCGGAUUCAGCGAGUCUUAUCCUUAACCGGAAGGUUGGGGUAAUCUUUUCAAAGUCCGACGUGAUGGGGAUUGAUCAUUGAAAUUAUUGAUCAUGANCGAGGAAUUCCUAGUAAGCGCGAGUCAUCAGCUCGCGUUGAUUACGU